rnacentral:rRNA from 1 species
AGUGAACGCUGGCGGUAGGCCUAACACAUGCAAGUCGAACGGCAGCACAGUAAGAGCUUGCUCUUACGGGUGGCGAGUGGCGGACGGGUGAGGAAUACAUCGGAAUCUACUUUUCGUGGGGGAUAACGUAGGGAAACUUACGCUAAUACCGCAUACGACCUACGGGUGAAAGCAGGGGAUCUUCCGACCUUGCGCGAUUGAAUGAGCCGAUGUCGGAUUAGCUAGUUGGCGGGGUAAAGGCCCACCAAGGCGACGAUCCGUAGCUGGUCUGAGAGGAUGAUCAGCCACACUGGAACUGAGACACGGUCCAGACUCCUACGGGAGGCAGCAGUGGGGAAUAUUGGACAAUGGGCGCAAGCCUGAUCCAGCCAUACCGCGUGGGUGAAGAAGGCCUUCGGGUUGUAAAGCCCUUUUGUUGGGAAAGAAAAGCAGCAGGUUAAUACCCCGCUGUUCUGACGGUACCCAAAGAAUAAGCACCGGCUAACUUCGUG